rnacentral:rRNA from 1 species
GACGAACGCUGGCGGCGUGCUUAACACAUGCAAGUCGAACGGAAAGGCCCUGCUUUUGUGGGGUGCUCGAGUGGCGAACGGGUGAGUAACACGUGAGUAACCUGCCCAUGACUUUGGGAUAACUUCAGGAAACUGGGGCUAAUACCGGCUAGGAGCUCCUGCUGCAUGGUGGGGGUUGGAAAGUUUCGGCGGUUGGGGAUGGACUCGCGGCUUAUCAGCUUGUUGGUGGGGUAGUGGCUUACCAAGGCUUUGACGGCUAGCCGGCCUGAGAGGGUGACCGGGCACAGUGGGAUGGAGAAAGGAGCCAGACGUGUUCGGGAGGGAGGAGUGAGUAAUAUUGACAGUGGGCGGAAGCCUGAUGCGGCAACGCCGCGUGCGGGAUGACGGCCUUCGGGUUGUAAACCUCUUUCGCCUGUGACGAAGCGUUAGUGACAGUAAUGGGUGAAGAAGCACCGGCUAACUACGUG